CUCAUCGGCGAGCGCUGUAAAACCACUUCCGUCUGCAGGGCUCACCGUGCCGCAGAGUCUCCUCUUUUAUUAACAAAAUACCGCUUACCUUGCGACACGGAAUCACCAGGAUAUCCCGAACAGCUGUCUAGCAGCGUUUUCAGGGAACUGCUUUGUCCUUAUGCUGCUUCGCCCCUGCGUCGAAGAAGAAUGGCUGUAACCGCAGGUGCUGAAACUACAUUUCAUGGUACUUGUGAAGCAUGGCACCCACUGCCGGAGUUAGUGCUGUCGGACACACACCUGCGGUUGUCCUGCCUCAGAAGAAAACGAAAAUCACGGGCAGCACGGAUAUGGAGAGGGAAAUAAAUCGCUGGAAAGAAGCGCCCGGAAUGAACGAGCAGGACUGGGGGUUUGGCGCCGCUCUUCCCAGCCAGCGAGAGCCUG